rnacentral:rRNA from 1 species
UUUUGGUGAAGUUUUCGGAUGGAACCGAAAUUGACUGAGUGGCGGACGGGUGAGUAACGCGUGGGUAACCUGCCUCACACAGGGGGAUAACAGUUAGAAAUGACUGCUAAUACCGCAUAAGCGCACGGAGACGCAUGUCUUUGUGUGAAAAGCCUUAACGGUGUGAGAUGGACCCGCGUCUGAUUAGCUAGUUGGCAGGGUAACGGCCUACCAAGGCGACGAUCAGUAGCCGACCUGAGAGGGUGACCGGCCACAUUGGGACUGAGACACGGCCCAAACUCC